rnacentral:rRNA from 1 species
GUGCCAGCAGCCGCGGUAAUACCGGCAGCCCGAGUGAUGGCCGAUCUUAUUGGGCCUAAAGCGUCCGUAGCUGGCUGCGCAAGUCCAUCGGGAAAUCCACCUGCUCAACAGGUGGGCGUCCGGUGGAAACUGUGUGGCUUGGGACCGGAAGGCGCGACGGGUACGUCCGGGGUAGGAGUGAAAUCCCGUGAUCCUGGACGGACCGCCGAUGGCGAAAGCACGUCGAGAAGACGGCUCCGACAGUGAGGGACGAAAGCUAGGGUCUCGAACCGGAUUAGAUACCCUAGUAGUCC